AUCCAGCACCGCGGCCGCGCGACUGGUCGCUCCGCCGCCGCCUCCCGGGUGCUGUCGCCCGCCCAGCGGAGCAGGGGAAGCGCUGAGCCCACGCUGGCCCCGCUCCUCUCCGUUGCCGGGUCCGCUCCCACGGGCUCGGCCCCCAGACCCUCAGUGGCACCCACCCUGUGCGGCCCUCGUGUGGCCCCAGCCCCGCUCCCCGUCCCCGUUCCACAGACGCUGGGGCGCAGGGGCGGCUCCGCCCUGCCCUUCACCCGCACGGUAGAGGGGUCACGGCUCACCGCAGCCUCCGCCUCCGGGCUCCAGCGGUCCUCGCAGGCGCGCCCCACCACGCUCAGCUAAUUUUUUCUUAUUUUUUAUAGAGAUGCGGUCUCCUGAAAAGUAGCCACUCUUUUUUGUUUUGUUUUGUUUUGUUUGGGGGGCGGGGGACAGAGUCUUGCUCUUUCGCCAGGCUGGAGUGCAGUGGCGCGAUCUCGGCUCGGAAUCUCCACCUCCCGGGCUCAAGCGAUUCUCCCGUCUCAGCUUCCGGAGUAGCUGGGACUACAGGCGCGCGCCACCACGCCCGGUUAAUUUUUUUGUAUUUUAGUAGAGACAGGGUUUCACCAUGUUGGCCAGGAUGGUCUCGAUAUCCUGACCUCGUGAUCCGCCUUCCUCGGCCUCCCAAAGUGCUGGGAUUACAAGCGUGAGCCACGCGCCCGGCCUUUUUUUUUUUUUUUUUUUAAGAGACCGGCCCACUAUGUUGCCCAGGCAGAUCUCGAACUGCUGAGCUCAAGCGAUCCUCCCGCCUCCCCUCCCGAAGUGCUAGGAUUCCAGGUGUGGCCACCGCGCCCACCACUUCCUUGCCUCCUCUCCCAAGCUUGCCCUCCUGUCUCCUGCUUUCCCUUAGACAAACUCAUAUGAUCCUGGGCCCGCGCAGAUAAUCUGGCAUAAUCUCAAAAUCCUUAAUCCCAUCUCUGGGGCCACAAUUCAACCAACUACAAGCUUGAAUUUGGGGAAUGAGCCAUGGAGGUGUUGGGGAGAGCGUGUUCCUGGCAGUGCAAGAGCCAGGAGGCAGGAGACAGCCGUCUGCAGCAGCCCCACUCCCGCCCUCCAGGGGCUGUGCCUUCUCCUACAGCCUGCCGAGUGCCUGCGAUUGCAGGCGCGCGCCGCCACGCCUGACUGGUUUUCCUAUUUUUUUGGUGGAGAUGGGGUUUCGCUGUGUUGGCGGGGCUGGUCUCCAGCUCCUAACCGCGAGUGAUCCGCCAGCCUCCGCCUCCCGAGGCGCCGGGAUUGCAGACGGGAGUCUCGUUCACUCAGUGCUCAAUGGUGCCCAGGCUGGAGUGCAGUGGCGUGAUCUCGGCUCGCUACAACCUCCACCUCCCACCCGCCUGCCUUGGCCCCCCCAAAGUGCUGAGAUUGCAGCCUCUGCCCGGCCGCCACCCCGUCUGGGAAGUGAGGAGCUUCUCUGCCUGGCCGCCCAUCGUCUGGGAUGUGAGGAGCCCCUCUGCCUGGCUGCCCAGUCUGGAAAGUGAGGAGCGUCUCUGCCCGGCCGCCCAUCGUCUGAGAUGUGGGGAGCACCUCUGCCCUGCCGCCCCGUCUGGGAUGCGAGGAGCGUCUCUGCCCGGCUGCCCCGUCUGAGAAGUGAGGAGCCCCUCUGCCUGCCAACCGCCCCGUCUGGGAAGUGAGGAGCGUCUCCGCCCGGCAGCCACCCCGUCCUGGAGGGAGGUGGGGGUCAGCCCCCACCAGGCCAGCCACCCCGUCAGGGAGGUGAGGGGCGCCUCUGCCCGGCCGCCCCUACUGGGAAGUGAGGAGCCCCCUCUGCCCGGCCACCACCCCGUCUGGGAGGUGUACCCAACAGCUCAUUGAGAACGGGCCAUGAUGACAAUGGCGGUUUUGUGGAAUACAAAGGGGGGAAGGUGGGGAAAAGAUUGAGAAAUCAGAUGGUUGCCGUGUCUGUGUAGAAAGAGGUAGACAUGGGAGACUUUUCAUUUUGUUCUGUACUAAGAAAA
rnacentral:lncRNA from 1 species